GCCGUGGGCAUCUGGCACUGCGGCUCCUGCAUGAAGACCGUCGCGGGUGGCGCCUGGACCUACAACAGCACUUCUGCUGUCACAGUGAAGUCUGCC
ensembl:miRNA